rnacentral:misc_RNA from 1 species
GGAUUGGAGCCCAUCGGCGGGAAAAAAUUAUAUCACAUUUUGCUUUCCUUAUAUUUCUUCUCAAAUGUCUAUCCAACACUUCAGUUACGAAAUUAGGGUUUUGAUUCCAUAAUUGCUGCCACGGAGUGCUAUUUCUCUCUUCUCAGGCAAUUUCCUCUGCCAAUUCUUCAUCAGUCUUUAUUCUCAGGCAAUUUCCUCUGCCAAUUCUUCAUCAGUCUUUA